rnacentral:lncRNA from 1 species
GGACGCUGUGCCGAGAGUUUCCAGUGGAGCUGUCUGUCACCGCUGAGUCCAGGAGAGGAAACUAGAAAUCCUGGCUUUCACCUGCUGCAGCUGCCUUGACUACUAGGUGUCACCAGUGAGCCCAUGGU